rnacentral:rRNA from 1 species
GGCUACCGCUAUUGGAGUUCGAUUAAGCCAUGCGAGUCGAGAGUCUUAGGGACUCGGCGUACCGCUCAGUAACACGUGGGUAACCUGCCCUAUGCUGGGGAAUAACCUCGGGAAACUGAGAAUAAUGCCCCAUAGUUCACUACGCCUGGAACGGUGAGUGGAUGAAAGCUCCGGCGGCAUAGGAUGGGCCUGCGGCGUAUCAGGUCGUAGGGGGUGUAACGUACCCUCUAGCCAUCGACGCGUACGGGUGUUGGGAGACAUAGCCCGGAGAUGGAUUCUGAGACACGAAUCCAGACCCUACGGGGUGCAGCAGGCGCGAAAACUUGGCAAUGCGAGAAAUCGUGACCAGGGAACUCCAAGUGGCUGGGGUAAGACCCAGUCUUUUCUUGACUCUUCAAAGGUCUUGGAAUAAGAGGUGGGUAAGGACGGUGCCAGCCGCCGCGGUAAUACCGGCGCCUCAAGUGGUAGUCGAUUUUAUUGGGCCUAAAACGUCCGUAGCCUGUUUGGUACAUUCGUGGGUAAAUCAACCAGCUCAACUGGUUGAAUUCUGCGAGCACGGCCAGACUUGGGACCGGGAGAGGUGUGGGGUACGCUCAGGGUAGGGGUAAAAUCCUGUCAUCCUGAGCGGACCACCUGUUGCGAAGGCGCCACACUAGAACGGAUCCGACGGUCAGGGACGAAGCCUAGGGGCACGAACCGGAUUAGAUACCCGGGUAGUCCUAGGUGUAAACGCUGUGGACUUGGUGUUGGGGAUUCUCAGAGGAUUCUCAGUGCCGAAGCGAAGGUGAUAAGUCCACUGCCUGGGGAGUACGUC